rnacentral:tRNA from 1 species
GGGGGUAGAGCUCAGUGGUAGAGUGCAUGCCUACGACACACGAGGCCCUGGGUUCAAUCCCCAGGGCCUCCA